rnacentral:rRNA from 1 species
GACGAACGCUGGCGGCGUGCCUAACACAUGCAAGUCGAACGAAGUGGAGAACGGGAGAGUAACGCGUAAACAACCUGCCCUUCAGUGGGGGACAACAGUUGGAAACGACUGCUAAUACCGCAUACGGAAGGAGGGGAUUGCGUCGGAUUCGCUAGUUGGAGGGGUAACGGCCACCCAAGGCGAGGAUCAGUAGCCGGUCCGAGAGGGUGAACCGGCACAUUGGGACUGGGGAACGGCCCAGACUGCUACUGGGGGGAGCAGUGGGGAAUCUUCGGCAAUGGACGGAAGUCUGACGGAGCAACGCCGCGUGAGUGAUGAAGGGCUUCGGGUUGUAAAGCUCUGUUAAUCGGGACGCGGUACCGGAAUAGAAAGCCACGGCUAACUACGUGCCAGCAGCCGCGGUAAUUC